rnacentral:tmRNA from 1 species
GGGGGCGUACCGGUUUCGACGGGAAUGCGGAAGCCGCAUUCGGGGCAUGCCGAGGGUUACGUCCUCGUAAAAACGUUAAGCGAUUACAAUCGCCAAUUUUGAUUACGCUUUAGCGGCUUAAUCGCACGCUAACGUCCGGCGGGAGGCUCUCCUGCGGCGUUUCGUCGGAUGGAAUACAAUGCGGGAUGGUUCCGGCCAGGGCGACGGGGGUCGGGACGAGAUGAAACGUCGAUGGCGGACGGGUCGAGCCGGCCUUUGGGCGCGCCGUCCGCGACGUUAAGUUCAAAGGAUAAGCAUGUAGUCCCGACGGCCUACGGUUUUCGGACAGGGGUUCGACUCCCCUCGCCUCCACCA